CCGUCGAGGACGCCGAGUCCUACCACCUCGACGGGGUACCCCAGCAGCACCGGUAGGAGCGGAGGACCCAACCUCUGGCCACACGGCCUCGGGGUGAAGUCCUACGGCGGGGCAUCGCCCGGUCGAAGGGCGGGAUGGUCUCCAUCCCAACCCGACAGCUAACUCCGCAGGCGAGAGGAGACAGCAUGA
rnacentral:sRNA from 2 species